CGUCGUCAGUCAGUCGUACGGACGCGCGAUUCACGUUUGACGCGUAGUUUCGGAUGCGUGGCUCGAGCGAAAUCGACGACGGUUGUACGUUUCACGGUGAUACUGGCCGACGGAGGCAACUCCAUCGCGUAUGCGUUCGAUUAUUGGUGUCUGGUGGUGGUGACGGUUUCUGGUAAGGUCGCGGUGGCACGUUUCGCUAUGUCGCAAGUGCUUUGGCCGCGAGAGGCGCAGUGACGACUCGUCCGUGAGCCUGCCGACAUCCUCGACGGCCUUACGAUGGAGUCUAUCAGAAAAUGGUUCUACAGGCCUAAGAGAGACGAUACGAGUCUGCUCGCUCAGUUUUUCUACGCUGACGAGGCGUUGAACGCGGUCGCCUGCGAAUUAGACUCCUUCGAUGGCCGACAGGAGCCGGAGAGAUGCACCACGCUGGUGAAUCAGCUGCGCCAUUGUCAGGACAAGGUGCUGACGAUCUGCAGUCAGAUAAUGGACGAGCUGAUACCGGAGAGCAGGGCGAACAGGGAUUUCAGGGUGAAGUUCCCGGACGACGUGAUGCAGGAGAAUCUCGCAGGACAAUUGUGGUUCGGCGCGGAAUGCCUGGCAGCUGGCUCCUCAAUCAUGAACAGGGAAGCUGAAAGUUCAGCCAUGAGGCCAUUGGCGAAGGCCCUGACAAAGUCGCUGGAUAUCGUCAGGAAUUUGCUCAGGGAGCACGCGCUGAAAGGUCACAUGAACCUGAAGUAUCUCUUUCAGACGCAGAACCCGCUGGACCCGUCGUUGGAGAAGCUGAUCGAGUCGCUGAAGAUCUUCGAUCGCCUGUUCUCCGAUUUCGAGCUGUGCUACGUCGGCGCUAUGGUACCGGUGAAAUCGACCAAGGAGUACGAGCAACAGGAACUCGUGUGCGUUUUAUUUUCGGAGACGCUGCAGAGAGCUCUCGAACGUGGAUUGCUCAGCCAAGCUGACGUGGAUAAUUACGAGCCAGCCCUGAUGUUUACAAUUCCCCGUUUGGCGAUUGUUUCUGGCCUCUUGGCUCCGCCUGGAGGUCCGCUGUGCCUCAAAUCACCCGAUAACAUUAGUGAAAUGUUUAGGCCGUUUAAGACGCUGCUUUUAAAAAUCCGGGAGCUCUUAUGGACGCUGAAUAACCGUGAGCUGUACAUGCUCGAGAAACUGUUGUGCUCGAACGAAGAGCCGUCGGGUCCUAUCACGCACUCGUCGAAGUCCGCGUGCCAGGACAUACCAGACCUGGAGGAGUUCGUUCACAAUUUUUAUACCGGUUAUCCGAACUGCAAAGACUUCAUCGUAGAUUUUUACACAGUGACGAGGAACACGGGAAACAAUAUGGACGAGGUGGCGAACGACGUGGUUCAAGCGUUAACGGAAGAAUGCGAGAACGCGGAUCGUUCGCCGGAGAUGAGGUGUGACCAAGAGGAGGGCGAUAGGCACGCGGGCACGAGGAUGAAUGAUGUCGAAUACGGGCCUAAUCGUGUGUACGUGUCCGCGGACGGGUUUCACGAGAGUGCCAGGUGUAACGGUGGCGCGAGGACAUCCAGUGAACGAGAGAGUGUCGGUGAUGAAGUGCAAUACAGCGUGAAGAAGGCUUGCAACGCCAACGUUGGCAGGCGGCAGUCCUGCGACGACGGCCUUAGCUCCAGAAGAGAAGAGGAUAACGCUGAUUCGGUUUAUCUCACGGUGCAGGCAGCGGUUGCACAGGGUAGCGCGGAGAACGGUGCGUCGAUCAGCAGCGAGAAUCAGGUGAGUCAACAGCAGCAGCAGCAGCAGGACGACUUCAUGACUUCCGACAUCUCCGAGAUCCUAGAUGGCUCUGAGAACAUAGAGAUUCCGCAGACUCAGUACCUACUUAACCAGGUAUCCCACGAGAACAACGUGUCCGGCGAGACCAUGCACAUCCAGAACUCGCUGCCGGAUUUGGACUCGAAGAAGCUGAUCUCCGAGGCGAACAAAACCCUGUCGAAUCUCCUGUUGGACAGCGACUGUCAGAACGAGAUCUCGGAGCAGACCGAUUCCGGGAUCUGCACGGUUUUGUCCUCGGAGAACACCAGCCUCUACGAUAAGAGCCCGGAGGAGAAAAAGACGUUCGCGAACGAGAUCCAGCAGGACGACCAGAUCUUGGACGACGAGGACACGCAAGAGAACACCAGCUACUCCUGCUCGAAUCUCAACUCACCGAAGAGAAAGAGCUCCACGAUCUCGGAGAACUCUUGCGUCUGUAGUCUGAGGAGCGUGAAACCGGCCCCGCCUAUGGAUAAUUCGAUCGAGGUGCACAAUCUCCACUCGAGCAGCACCGAGGCCGCGAAAAACAUUCCAAGGAUAUCGUCGAACUUCGACGGUACCAACGAGGAGUUCGUCGGAGUCGCCUACGGGAACGGCCACAUCACCGUCUGCGACUCGAACCAGUCCAGCUUUCAGAUCAACUACACGGAGAACUGGGAAAACUUGAAUCUGAACAUCGACGCGUCCACCUCUCGCCGGGAGUUUUGGUGCGACCUGAAGUGCGAGAACUGUCCGUCGACGUCGCAGAACAUCGGCAAGAUAGGGACGAAGAUCGAGCAUUACGCGAAGGAGAAGAUCGUAUCGAGGAAGAUGAGGGACGAGAAGCAGAAACGGAGACAUCAUCGCAGACACGAUAAAAGCGGCCCGCUGAUUCACGGGACCCAGGAUACCAGGACCACCUCGCAUUUCCAGAGCGUGUAUUGCGCGACCAGCACAGAGAGCUCCAGGUCGAACUCGACCGACCGGUGCUUGAACCCUAGACUGAUCAGCUACGGCGCCAGUUUACACCCGAGCCAGAACACUAGGCAAAUGCCGAAUUUCGGGAGCCACAGUCCUCACGCCAGCCCGAGGAUGCAGCACUUCGAGCCGCGUAGUAACGGCCAACGAACUUGCAGCAUCGCCCUCAGGACGCAAAGAAACUUGUCGCCGCAUAACAAGAAGCUUCUGGAUCACAGGAGAUCUAGGUCAGAGCAAAUCAGCCGGAUGAAGAGGAGGGACGUCGAGAAGAGAGACAAGUACGACAGGGUUAAUACUCGCUCCGAGCAGACCAAGAGGAAACUGGAGAGCAGAAGUCCUAACGAACUGAUGAACGAUGGUUUGGGACCAAGGACGGACAAGAGUGGCUUGGUGGCGGAGCCAGUUUCCCCGGUGAUGCCGCAAAACGUUCCUUACGGAGUCCAGAGUUUAAUAAAAGACAAUAAUACACAGAGAACCGUUCGCGCGAUAAGACUGGUCAAUGCGACGACCGUUUCUGGCGCGCAGUCGUUCAACUCUGAUCGCUCGCUGAUCCAUAAGCCGGACGUCGGGUCCAGCUCCAGCUGUUCCAGCUGCUGCGACUCCAGCUCCGAGACCAGCGAGUUCCAGAGCGACUGCCAAGAUGACGAAGAGAUUGCGCUUGCGAUGCAGGCAGCUGAGAUCGCAAACAGGAAUCAGAUACGGGCGAAGUUUCGAUCGUCGGAGGAUCUUGUUCAUCGACUGUUCGUCUGUAUAGCCGGUGUGGCGGAUCAGUUGCAGACGAACUUUGCCUCGGACCUGCGGAAUAUCUUGAAGUGCGUGUUUUUGAUGAACAGUAGUCAGACCGUAGAAGACAGCGAGGUGAAGGACGACAUUUUAACCGCAGACGAUCAGAUAGCAAAUCCUAUAAACGAUACGGGUACUAAUCACGAGCGACAAGACUCGUUGCAGGAAUAUGAAGACGAUCUGGAAGAUACGACUGCGACUAACGGCCAAAAUACAAAUUCUCCGAUAACCGAACGCGGUGAAGAGUGCGUGGAACGUGCUCCAGCUUGGGUCCCCGACAACGACGCGCCACGGUGUAUGGCUUGUCAAGCUGGCUUCACCGUAGUGCGACGGAGACACCAUUGCAGAAAUUGUGGCAAAGUGUUCUGCGGUCGUUGCAGUAGCAACAACGUUCCCCUGCCACGUUACGGGCAUACGAAACCCGUGAGGGUGUGCAACAGGUGUUUUCUCUAUCAGGUGACGCCGUUCACCGUUUCCCAAGUAACACCUGCGAGCUGAACAUUAACAGAACAAGUAGGGACACAGUGUUUCGAUGGUCGAUCCUUGAAAGGGAACUUCGUCAGAUGUUGCAUCGAUAUUAAAAUAUAUUAAACUGCUUGAGUUACAAAGGAAGUUGUAUGUCAUUCGCUUGAAUAAUUGCAAAUUGGCACAAGGAUAGUGACAUUAAAGAUAUUCAUAAAUAGGUGAAGCGCAAGAAUCUUAAAUAAGAUAGUAAAACAAAAACGACAAAAAAAGUGAAAGAAAGAACGAAAAUUCGAAAGGAGGGGAUGCAUCGUAGACUGAGAGACAAAUCCUUGCGCCGAGUUGGACUUUAAACUAUAUCAACCGCUCGCUCAGCGAUAGUGAUCCAAGUGAUUUCUAAAUUUUUAAUAUAAUAAACUAGCGAGAAGAGUUGCGAGUAGUCAAAGUGUGAUUGUACUAUAAUCGUGACCAUCGAUUCGACGAAACGUUUAUAAAGGGUGUGUCUGAAAUGAAAAGGAACAUUGAACAAUUGCCAUGUUUUCCCGUUUUCGAGAACAUUGAAUUUGAAUAUUCAAGUAUGCUCGAUGCCGAUUCAAUUAACCGAUGGCAAGCACAAGAUCUCAAGUCGAAUUUUCAAAACCGAUCGUCUCGAAAAUUAAAUCUGUUUAGAACAAAUUUUAUUUUCUAUUUUCCAUUUAGUUUUGUAUGAAAAAUUACCAGCCCUUCUUUAACGCUACACAAUUUCAGAUGUACCCUCUAUUGCGAGUGUCCUAAUUUAUCUUUCGCAUUCAGCGAAUACCGAGGAAACGUAUUUGCUUCUGUUCCAAGAGACGUUGUUGCUCGGCUUUUCCCCUGCUCAGAAACACAAAGUAGUUCUUUGUAGUAUACCUAGUUUGGACCUGCAGUUAAUUGACGACAAUAUGUUCGUCGUCUAACAAACGAGGAGACCAAAUCGUCGAUUAUUCACAAAAAGGUAGCCUCGACGAUGACCUUCGGAUAUGCUGUCAACGUCCCGAGUAACUUUGUUUAUAUCUUUUCAACUACAGCCGAGCGACGGUUAUAUAAAGUAACGUUAUUUAGGACGUUGCUUCGAUAACAUAUUUAAAGGUCGUCGAAAUAAGUGUGACAUGCCUCCUUGUCAAUAACCAUGCGCUGGCAAAUCGGAACACCGUUCUGGAAGCUUGUGAACUGCGAUUUUUAAGAGGUGUCCUGCGAUCCGAUUGAUCUGUGCAGCAUCCACUCGCAGAGGCACGUUACUAUCGCUUGUGCCAAAUUUUCGUGACAAUAAGUUCCCAGCUGGUUACGCGGUUUUCCGCGCGUACAAUUUAGGGGAGUCUACGUGAUCUCUUCGGUAUCGUAGUUCGGAUACACAAAACAUAGAUCAGCCCUGCAGAUGCUAUAUCAGUUCUCCAACGUAUACGGGGAAUUCCCAUGAGCUCUUGAUUGUAUAAUGAUCGUUGUACUAAAUAUCCUUCUCUGUAUCUGACUGGGUCUGAAUCAUGUAUCUCGAGAUUAAGGCCAUCGAGACCCAAGAUCGGAACAUUGAGCUGAACUGUCUGCUGUCAACAGCUCUCUCCUGAGAAGGUUGCGAUGUUGCCGCUUUGACAUAGCUAUCCUUGCACAUCUUACGUAUAUCUUGUGUCCAUUGAGGACUGCAACUCUGCCAGACGUCGACAUCAGAGCCAGCUCGUCGGCGGUCUGUACAUUGCCCCAAUCCAUCUCUUCUCGCGGACGACAUAGGGGGCAGGCUCACCAGCCUGCCAUGUUCUUCACUGUGUCAAGAAACUUGAUGCACGAUUACAUGCUCAAAGAUGUCGUCUUCUCCACCGUUGGCAUCGCUUAUACCAUAGUCUAUAAUCGCAGAAAAAAAAAAGUUCACUCGCACACAUCUCACACAAAAUUGUGCAUCGCUCUCAAGCUAUGGGAUUCGCACAGAGCUAGGAGAUGACCAUACGAAGGCGCUGUCAGUUACGAUAUAGCUUAAAUUUAUCUUUUCAAUGAACUGAAUUCCGUCAUAUGCUAGAGAUUACUUUCCUGGUUAUGAAUUCCGAAAAAGGUACGACUCCCACUUUUACGCCACGCUAGCUUUUUCUCUCUGUUUCAGAGGCGAGGAACACGAGGCUGUAAACUGUUUGUUAGAGUAACUUCGAGAAGAUACAAAAUUCUAAGGUUUUCACUCGUCAGAGGUUCUGGGGUAAGUGCCGUGCGGUCUGACAAGAUCUUGUUAUCAAAAUGUGACCUUUUUUUUUCUCCCUACUCUAUGACCAAAGAUCUUGCAAGAAAAAUAUUUUUAUUCUCGAGGCAGUACAACUUUAUCAAUGAGUUUUGAAUUCAUCGUGCAAGAGACUUCCGGUUUAUGAAUCAGGACAUCGAUAGUUUAUUUUCUUACACUCCCUUCCAUGACCGCACGUGGCCUAACACCCUACCAUAAAUCCUUGAUCGACGAAUCCAAUUUGAUUUAAAGGACGCUGACACUAAUAGACAAUUCCAAUCAUGGAGUAUCCUAUAAACUCUGUCCAGGAUUAGCAUUGCGAACUUCUGUCUCCACGUUUCGAAUUCAAGUGGUUUUAUAAAGCUCUUUCUUGCUUCAGAAUUUGAUGUACAAUAAGGGAAACGAGGAAUCAUCAACGAUAGUAAAAUUGACAAAAUUUCGAAAGUUCUGUAAAAUAUCCUUUUUAUAUGUAACGCAUUACAUAUUUGAAUUAUUGUCGAUGAUACAUGAUACAAAUCAAUAAUGUUGUUGUAUACUGGUUUCAAUUUUAUGGCAGAAUGUGAUCAUGUAAUCAAUUUAAUUUCAAUUUUCUAUUUGCACAAUAUAAAACUACGACUGCCAAUAAUUAUCGAUAAGUUAGUUGUUGUCACAUGCUGUCAUUGUCUUGUUCCAUAGAUAUUAAUGUUCUCGAAUCUAUCCUACAACAUUAGCUGACUUUAAUUAGCGUUAAGAUUUUCAUUGCGGUAUCAAAAUUUAUAUAAGCUACGAUCUUAAGAUAAAAUCUUGUAUUAAUUAGAAGUAUAGAUCGAUUCUACUCUUUUCAGUGAUUUCGGUGUAACAGUGUAUCAUUACAUUGUUUAACGUGUACGGAGGCCACAAUAUCUGGAAAUGUUCUCAACAUCCGAUGUCAAGCGAUCUCUAAUUAUUUUGAAUAAUGCUGUAAGAAAACUUGUAAAUAACACUGAAAAUUGCAUCAUUUUUCUGUACUUCAAAGUAGUUUGAUACAUUCUCCUGAAUUAAUAUUUCGUUCAUGUAUUGUCUAAUAUUAGGGUAGAGCGAGGUAUAGUUAAUAUGUAUAUUUCCAAGUGAUCAAAAUACAUGGACGUGAAGAACUAGUAAUAAUUGUAAUCUCGAGGUAAUAGCGUUGUACCAAUGAAUUCAAUGAUUACUCUGUACGGAUUCGGUAAUAUUACCAUCGUUAGUCACGACUGUUUACAUUGAUCACAUCGGGCGUCUGUCAUACUUCAAUGUUAAUCCGAAAUUUAACCGAUUCUACAAUGUUAAUCCUGCUGACUAGAUAAAAAUCACAAAGCUUCGACAGAUUCUCACACAUACGAGCUCAUGGUUUUCCCAUCGGAUAAAAUCGCGUACACUGUAAACAAUAAUUUUAAGACGCAUACGUCGGCCCAUUCUUUCAUUUUACAAGUGUCAACGAGUCCCCCAUCUGUAUAUAUGUACCGAAACACCCUGUAUAAAACUCUAUGGAGUAAUCAACUGGCUGGUGGCUUCGACGGAAGCGGUCCGAAGUCAGCGUAAAAUUAUCUCUAAAAACGAAAAAAAAAAUAAUAACAAUGAAAAACUAUUACUGAGUGUUUGUCAAUGUGGAUCAUCGUGUCCGUCGACUGUCCGCAGGCGUUCAUAGCAAGUGGAAAUAUGUAGUUCGAAGCGCACGAAAUGCGUUCACCGUCUUCGAAAACGAUAUCGGCGUACAAUUUCCUUACCGAGCUGUAGAACAGGACCGCGUGUGCGACGGCGCUUCUAGAGCGGGUAAGAGGCGGUCUAGGAGAAACAACGUUAACUUGGCGUUAAAAAUUUCACAUUCCGUUGCAUCGGUGUCGGCGUGAUACAGUCAAUAAUAUCUGCGCGAGAAACCUAUAAAAACAUGGAGCAGCAACGGUGUUUGCCAUUGUUGUUCGACGAUUCGAAGCGAUUCAGCGAUUAGAAAGGGGUCAGGGAAUAAAUCGUCCGACGAAUAAUUUUCGAUCUAGUGGCUCAAGUUAUGCCUUCGAUACCGAUCGAGGCGUGUCCGAGACGCGCGAUCUGCUCGCAGGUCUUUUGAACAUUGAAGGAUGCGUAUCGCGGAAAACGCUUCCGCGGCCUGGUAGGACUGUCAAACUAAAGACUUCUCUAAGGACAUACAUACAUACAUACAUACGUUCUCUUAAGAAGCACAUCGAUAUUAGGGAGUGUCGCGGAAAAUACGAACUAAGCUUAGGAUGAGAGUUAUUUUUUACACGCAAUCGAUGCCUUGCUCUAGCAUAUUGUGCUUUCUAUCUUUUACGUAAACGACCCUUCGCACUCGAGCUUACGAGUCGUAGGUAUUCACAUUGAUUACUCUUCUGUUAAUUCAUCGUAAUAUCGGGGCUUGGAAGCUGCUUUUAAAAUGCAUUUAAGAUCCUUGCGUGGAACCUUCGUCUCGAAUAACUGUUACGGAGAAUUCCGAAGUUUCCAAUAUCGAAGAAAUUUCAAGCCCCGGCCAAGUACCAUUUCUUCGUCCGUUGACCAGAGGGGAUCGUCUUCAAGGAAUAAAAUUAAUCCUCGUAUACCCCCCAAAGAAACAUUUGCCCGUUUUCUAUUUUAGAUAUUGUAAAAUUUUGUAUUUCUUUACGAUUGUCCUGCAAUCCGAAUGCGUUCGUUUCAAAUGUCAAAUUACCAAUAAACGUAUAUAUUAAACCCUCUU